rnacentral:misc_RNA from 1 species
GAAGGGAGUCUUCAUCUGGCGUUUAGGCCUGCUCUGGCCUUCAUUAGAAUUACCAACGUUGUUGUUGUUAUUGUCGUUGCCGUCUGUAUUCUGAUAGUCCCCUUCAGAAUUCGCCUCCAUUGAAGCGAUCUCGAUCUCAGAAUCCAAAAAUCGAAAGAAUUAGGGUUACGAAAACACAAACAAAAAGAGAAAGACACUAGAGAGAGAGAGAGAGAAAGACGGGUAAAAAUAAAAUAAACGGUGAAAUUGCAAUUUGUUUGGCUUUCCACUUUCUAUUAAGAACUAAUUAUCGUGAUAGUCAAGGAAGAGAAAGAUCGAUUGAAUUAACAUUUUAAUUUAUUUUCUUUUUCUCGUUGU